AGUGAACGCUGGCGGCGUGCUUAACACAUGCAAGUCGAGCGAGAUUCUACAGCACACCGUAGAGUCUAGCGGCAGACGGGUGAGUAACACGUAGGAAACUUUCCCUGAAAUGGAGGAUACCCCCGAGAAAUCGGGGCUAAUACUGCAUAAGACCACAUUCCGGCAUCGGAAAGAGGUCAAAGGCCCGCAAGGGUCGUUUCGGGAUGGUCCUGCGUCCUAUCAGCUAGUUGGUGAGGUAAUGGCUCACCAAGGCUAUGACGGGUAGCCGGCCUGAAAGGGCGAUCGGCCACACUGGAACUGAGACACGGUCCAGACUCCUACGGGAGGCAGCAGUGGGGAAUUUUGGACAAUGGGCGAAAGCCUGAUCCAGCAACGCCGCGUGAAGGAUGACGGUCUUCGGAUUGUAAACUUCUUUUAGAGGGAACGAAAAAAAUGACGGUACUCUCAGAAAAAGCCACGGCUAACUACGUGCCAGCCGCCGCAGUAA
rnacentral:rRNA from 1 species